AUUGAACGCUGGCGGCAUGCUUUACACAUGCAAGUCGAACGGUAACAGCACUUCGGUGGCUGACGAGUGGCGAACGGGUGAGUAAUACAUCGGAACGUGCCUAGUAGUGGGGGAUAACUACUCGAAAGAGUAGCUAAUACCGCAUGAGAUCUAAGGAUGAAAGCAGGGGACCUUCGGGCCUUGCGCUACUAGAGCGGCUGAUGGCAGAUUAGGUAGUUGGUGGGAUAAAAGCUUACCAAGCCGACGAUCUGUAGCUGGUCUGAGAGGACGACCAGCCACACUGGGACUGAGACACGGCCCAGACUCCUACGGGAGGCAGCAGUGGGAAAUUUUGGACAAUGGGCGCAAGCCUGAUCCAGCAAUGCCGCGUGCAGGAUGAAGGCCUUCGGGUUGUAAACUGCUUUUGUACGGAACGAAAAGCCCUCUUCUAAUACAGGAGGGUCAUGACGGUACCGUAAGAAUAAGCACCGGCUAACUACGUG
rnacentral:rRNA from 1 species